rnacentral:rRNA from 1 species
CUUAGCUUGCUAAGGCCGAUGGCGACCGGCGCACGGGUGAGUAACACGUAUCCAACCUGCCGUCUACUCUUGGACAGCCUUCUGAAAGGAAGAUUAAUACAAGAUGGCAUCAUGAGUCCACAUGUUCACAUGAUUAAAGGUAUUCCGGUAGACGAUGGGGAUGCGUUCCAUUAGAUAGUAGGCGGGGUAACGGCCCACCUAGUCUUCGAUGGAUAGGGGUUCUGAGAGGAAGGUCCCCCACAUUGGAACUGAGACACGGUCCAAACUCCUACGGGAGGCAGCAGUGAGGAAUAUUGGUCAAUGGGCGAGAGCCUGAACCAGCCAAGUAGCGUGAAGGAUGACUGCCCUAUGGGUUGUAAACUUCUUUUAUAAAGGAAUAAAGUCGGGUAUGGAUACCCGUUUGCAUGUACUUUAUGAAUAAGGAUCGGCUAACUCCGUGCCAGCAGCCGCGGUAAUACGGAGGAUCCGAGCGUUAUCCGGAUUUAUUGGGUUUAAAGGGAGCGUAGAUGGAUGUUUAAGUCAGUUGUGAAAGUUUGCGGCUCAACCGUAAAAUUGCAGUUGAUACUGGAUAUCUUGAGUGCAGUUGAGGCAGGCGGAAUUCGUGGUGUAGCGGUGAAAUGCUUAGAUAUCACGAAGAACUCCGAUUGCGAAGGCAGCCUGCUAAGCUGCAACU